GCAAGACCAAAGUGGGGGACCUUCGGGCCUCAUGCCAUCAGAUGUGCCCAGAUGGGAUUAGCUAGUAGGUGGGGUAACGGCUCACCUAGGCGACGAUCCCUAGCUGGUCUGAGAGGAUGACCAGCCACACUGGAACUGAGACACGGUCCAGACUCCUACGGGAGGCAGCAGUGGGGAAUAUUGCACAAUGGGCGCAAGCCUGAUGCAGCCAUGCCGCGUGUGUGAAGAAGGCCUUCGGGUUGUAAAGCACUUUCAGCGGGGAGGAAGGCGCUAAGGUUAAUAACCUUGGCGAUUGACGUUACCCGCAGAAGAAGCACCGGCUAACUCCGUGCCAGCAGCCGCGGUAAUACGGAGGGUGCAAGCGUU
rnacentral:rRNA from 1 species